AUUGAACGCUAGCGGGAUGCCUUACACAUGCAAGUCGAACGGAGUGGCGAACGGGUGAGUAAUGUAUCGUAACGUGCCCAGUAACGUGGGAUAACUACGCGAAAGCGUAGCUAAUACCGCAUACUAUUGGAGGGGCCGAUAUCGGAUUAGCUAGUUGGGUGGGUAACGGCUCACCAAGGCGACGAUCCGUACCGGGUGUGAGGGUACUACCAGCCACACUGGGAGUGAGACAGGGCCCAGACCCCUACGGGAGGCAGCAGUGGGGAAGUGUGGACAAUGGGGGAAACCCUGAUCCAGCCAUCCCGCGUGUGCGAUGAAGGCCUUCGGGUUGUAAAGCACUUUUGGCAGGAAAGCGGUACCUGCAGAAUAAGCACCGGCUAACUACGUGCCAGCCGCCGCGUAAUUC
rnacentral:rRNA from 1 species